GACCGCUAUGGCGAGCCCCGCCCACAGUGCGCAGCCACCAGCCAGGCUCCGGGAAACUCUGGGGGACUUGGGCCCUCAGUGGGGGAAACCUAGAAGCCCACGGCAAUGGGCGGGGCAGGACAUCUGGGGCGAGCAGGGGCUUACAUGCUACCUGGAAGCAAUCUGUGAACGUACAUUGGAUGAAGUUAGGGAAUGAAUGAUGGCCUUAGUGGUUCAUGGAGAUGGGGGCACAGUGAGUGGGCUAGGAGAAAGGGAAGCCGUGGAAACCUGCAAGCAGAAGGUUUAAAUCCCAGCCCUACUGGGGCCACCCCCAGGCGUGAAAUCAUCUCUCUUCUCUCUGGAUGCUGGAGUUAAGGCUUCCCAUUCCUUACCUGGGGUUUGGAACAUGCCCAGAGGAUUUCAGAGCUGGAAGAGGCCUCAUGUUCUGGAAAAGACGUGUGUGGUCCAAGCUCUCCUGCCUACGACAGCAGUCAGAGAGGGAAAGACUGCCCCGGAAUGGAUUUAGGAACCCAGGACUCUUGACAAAGACUGCUAAUUCAGCAGCUGGCAGCUGCCUGGUUCCUCCCUCUGCGGUUCCACAGUUUCUCCAGGGAGGAUUGAGGGAGUCCUGGGUGCCUCCCUAUGGGAUGGUGGCGCCCUCUGCUGGUCAUGAGUCUUGUGGUGGAACUAUCUCCAGACUCAAGGCCGGCUGGUGCCCGGCGCCACCUGGAAACCUUGCCAUAUUUUGGGAUGCCAUAAAGCAUUUGUUCCUCCCAGGAGGAUCUGUAGUGAGCUGGUCACUGAGUUCACACUGAGGAAGUUGUGAGGAGGGAGAUGCUGCCGGUGAAAUGCACUCCACAGCACGGCUCCAGAGCUCAGCCUUCUCUGCCCCACCUCCUCUUAUGCCACGCCCCUUGCCUAGCAUCUGUUCUCCUCCUCCAAUAAGCCUUCCCCAGGCCUCUUGCCUCUCCAGAAUGUCCCUUACCUCCUCAUGCCUCUUAGCAAAUCCCCUGUGGAUCUGCUCCUGAGAAAUCUAUACUUCGUCUGCAACUUAUGUCGAAGCAGGUGUCUUGUUCCCAGGGAGUUCAUGUUUCCCAGUUCUUUGGCUCCAGCUGCCCCGGCUGAGAUAGGGUUUAAGGGCGGGGGGGGGGGAGUAGGGGACCUGGGUAGCAUGGGAUUAGUAGGGGCUGUCUAACAGACAAAGCCCCUUCUCACUUCCACAAUUACCAGUGAGGAACUGGAGGAUGUGACUCCUGUGACCCCACGGACCUGCUUAAGCUCUGGGGAACCCUCGGGAAGUUGGAUCACUAGAGCUGUGAAAGUUCAGACCCCGUAGAGUCCCAGUGAGUCAGUUACUUCAAGGCACAGAACUGGCAAGGAUGAAUAAAUAGCUCUACGG
rnacentral:lncRNA from 1 species